GAGUAUUGUCGACCAAAACACCGUAUAGCGAGCUGAGGAAAAGCUGCGCUACCCUGAGCUGUAAACAGCAGAGAGGUGAGAAGUACCCAAGUUGCACUAACUGUGUUAUUGUAUUCAAGCUGCCUGUAAAGGAAGAGAGAACCAGAGUGAACGUCAGUAGAACGAACUGUGGACAGUCACACACGCCUGAGCUGUAAGCAGCAGAGAGCUGCCUGUAAAGGAAGAGAGAACAAGAGUGAACGUCAGCAGAAUGAACUAUGGACAGUCAUACAUGCCCGAGCUGUGAACAGCAGAGGGGUGAGAAGUACCCAAGUUGCACUAACUGUGUUAUUGUAUUCAAGCUGCCUGUAAAGGAAGAGAGAACCAGAGUGAACGUCAGUAGAACGAACUGUGGACAGUCACACACGCCUGAGCUGUAAGCAGCAGAGAGCUGCCUGUAAAGGAAGAGAGAACAAGAGUGAACGUCAGCAGAAUGAACUAUGGACAGUCAUACAUGCCCGAGCUGUGAACAGCAGAGGGGCGAGAAGUAUCCAAGUUACACUAACUGUGUUGCUGUGUCCAAGCUGCCUGCGAAGGAGGAGAGCCUGGAGUGGCCGUUAUUUUAAGCCCCCCCCCCUUUUCCCUUCCCUAUUAUCCUUUUUAAGUAAAUUA